AUGCUGCUGUUGCUCCUGCUCCUCACGAGCGUUUCCCAGCAUGCUCUGGCUGUGGUGGUGGAGGUAUAUGAGGGGGAGACUUCUGUCCUCUUGCACUAUGUUUACAAAGGUUCGAUACCUGAGGACAAUCCCACAGUGAUGUGGACUCGCAGUGACCUCAAUCCCAAAUCUGUCCACCUACAAGGAAAAGGAGGAGACGAUCUUAAAGGGCAAAACCAGCGCUACAGUGGGCGCACAUCAAUGAGUCGUUAUGCAUUAAACACAAAAGACUUCAGCCUCACUCUGAGGAAACCCAAACUGACUGACAGCGGUAUUUACACCUGCUCCAUCAGUGCUGGAGGAGGAGAACAGAGACUGAGUGACAUCCAGCUGCAGGUCAAAGGUCAAACCUGCUGCAUGAAAGAGUAAAAGUCAGGACAGUAGAUGAAGCUCAAAUAGUCCCAAAAGCAACAAGAAAGCCAAGUUUUUUCUGAAUAGUUCUGAAAGUCUUUGUAGGAGCCAUGAGUUGCUCUUUUUUGACUAAGUGUGUUGGUUUAAAUGGACUCACUGUAUUGGUGCACGGGUGUGGGGCGUGUCUCAUGGGUGUGUUAGAUGAUAAAUGUGGUUGCACUCACCUG
ensembl:lncRNA